AAGGCCUUAGUUUAAUUAAAGCGUUUGAGUUGCAUUCAGAAGAUGUAUAUUAAAGUUCUGCAGGUCUU
rnacentral:tRNA from 1 species